rnacentral:lncRNA from 1 species
UUAAGCGGCGCUUUACAUCCACUGAGAUGUUCACGGUCAAUGAAUCUUUCCCAAACCCUAUACACAGCCAUUGUGGAUCGUGAACUAAUAAUUACAGAGUCAUAUUAUGAUAUUUUUGUAGCUGAGAUCGACAUUACGUACCUUUGAAUAAUGUUUACCAUUUGUUGAUAAUUUUCUUGUGGUUUUCUCAUUGAGUCAAAGAUUAUCAACCGGUUCUUGGGAAUUUCAAUAACCAUGAGUAUCCAGUGAAAGCUGUUUACACACAUAUAUAUAUAGUCAGUCCUAUAAUGUAAAAUAAAAUAUGCAUGCACUUAAUAACUAUAUAACUCACUCGAAGUUGAAGGGGAAGAGUAUUUUUUGUUUUUCUUUUUGGUUCACAAAGAACCUCAUAAGAUUGGUGCAGACUUCUGUCUCAUGAUCUGCUGUCCACAUUGCCUGCGGAGCCUUGAAAACAAUAUAAGGGUCAACGAACCCAAUACUAUUGUCAUUUCUCAUUCUGAGCUCUCUCAUUUGGUGCCUGCAUAUAUACAUACAAAUCCUAAGUGUGUAAGGAUUAUAUACAUGUAACUAAAGAAGUUAGAAGUAUAAUAAAAAGAAAAAAAUACUUACAGACAAAAGCAGCUG